rnacentral:rRNA from 1 species
AGAGCGAACGCUGGCGGCAGGCCUAACACAUGCAAGUCGAGCGGCCGUAGCAAUACGGCAGCGGCGGACGGGAGAGUAACACGUGGGAACGCGCCCUUCGGUUCGGAAUAACUCAGGGAAACUUGGGCUAAUACCGGAUACGCCCUUACGGGGAAAGAUUUAUUGCCGAAGGAACGGCCCGCGUCCGAUUAGCUUGUUGGUGAGGUAACGGCUCACCAAGGCGACGAUCGGUAGCUGGUCUGAGAGGAUGACCAGCCUCACUGGGACUGAGACACGGCCCAGACUCCUACGGGAGGCAGCAGUGGGGAAUAUUGGACAAUGGGCGCAAGCCUGAUCCAGCCAUGCCGCGUGGGUGAUGAAGGCCCUAGGGUUGUAAAGCCCUUUCGGCGGGGAAGAUAAUGACGGUACCCGCAGAAGAAGCCCCGGCUAACUUCGUGCCAGCAGCCGC